rnacentral:rRNA from 1 species
GACGAACGCUGGCGGCGCGCCUAACACAUGCAAGUCGAACGGAGUCAAGAGGAGCUUGCUUUUCUUGACUUAGUGGCGAACGGGUGAGUAACGCGUGAGUAACCUGCCCUUGAGUGGGGGACAACAGUUGGAAACGACUGCUAAUACCGCAUAAGCCCACGGAUCUGCAUGGAUCUGCGGGAAAAGGAUUUAUUCGCUCUAGGAUGGACUCGCGUCCAAUUAGCUAGUUGGUGAGGUAACGGCCCACCAAGGCGACGAUUGGUAGCCGGACUGAGAGGUUGAACGGCCACAGUGGGACUGAGACACGGCCCAGACUCCUACGGGAGGCAGCAGUGGGGGAUAGUGCACAAUGGGGGAAACCCUGAUGCAGCGACGCCGCGUGGAGGAAGAAGGUUUUCGGAUUGUAAACUCCUGUCGUUAGGGACGAUAAUGACGGUACCUAACAAGAAAGCACCAGCUAACUACGUG